ACCAUUUCCGAAGGAUAAAUUGUUCCUUUCAGUGUAAUGGCGAUCGAUUUUGUGGUGAUCCUGAUUUAUGGUUUUCUUCAAUGCCAUUGGGUCUUGGAAACGCCUCAUACAUUU